rnacentral:rRNA from 1 species
CUACGGGUUGCUGCAGUGGGGAAUAUUGGACAAUGGGCGCAAGCCUGAUCCAGCAAUGCCGCGUGAGUGAAGACGGCCUUAGGGUUGUAAAACUCUUUCGCUAGGGAAGAUAAUGACUGUACCUAGUAAAGAAGUCCCGGCUAACUCCGUGCCAGCAGCCGCGGUAAUACGGAGGGGACUAGCGUUGUCCGGAAUUACUGGGCGUAAAGAGUUCGUAGGCGGACUGACAAGUUAGAGGUGAAAUCCCAGGGCUCAACCCUGGAACUGCCUUUAAAGCUGUCAGUCUAGAGACCGGAAGAGGUUAGGGGAAUACCUAGUGUAGAGGUGAAAUUCGUAGAUAUUAGGUGGAACACCAGUGGCGAAGGCGCCUAACUGGUCCGGUACUGACGCUGAGGAACGAAAGCGUGGGGAGCAAACAGGAUUAGAUACCCCAGUAGUC